rnacentral:rRNA from 1 species
UACGAAGGGGGCAAGCGUUGUUCGGAAUCACUGGGCGUAAAGCGUCCGCAGGCGGAUAGUCAAGUCGGGGGUCAAAGCGUGAGGCUUAACCUCAGACUGGCCGUCGAUACUGACGCGCUCGAGUGUGGGAGGGGUGGGUGGAAUUCCUAGUGUAGCGGUGAAAUGCGUAGAUAUUAGGAAGAACACCAGUGGCGAAAGCGGCCUACUGGCCCAGUCCUGACGCUGAGGUGCGAAAGCUAGGGGAGCGAAAAGG